CCUACGGGAGGCUGCAGUGGGGGAUAUUGGACAAUGGGGGAAACCCUGAUCCAGCGACGCCGCGUGAGUGAAGAAGUAUUUCGGUAUGUAAAGCUCUAUCAGCAGGGAAGAAAGAAAUGACGGUACCUGAGUAAGAAGCCCCGGCUAACUACGUGCCAGCAGCCGCGGUAAUACGGAGGGGGCAAGCGUUAUCCGGAAUUACUGGGUGUAAAGGGAGCGUAGACGGUAAUGCAAGUCUGGAGUGAAAGGCGGGGGCCCAACCCCCGGACUGCUCUGGAAACUGUGUAACUGGAGUGCAGGAGAGGCAGGCGGAAUUCCUAGUGUAGCGGUGAAAUGCGUAGAUAUCAGGAGGAACACCAGUGGCGAAGGCGGCCUGCUGGCACGUAACUGACGUUGAGGCUCGAAAGCGUGGGGAGCAAACAGGAUUAGAUACCCCUGUAGUC
rnacentral:rRNA from 1 species